rnacentral:rRNA from 1 species
AGGCAGCAGUAGGGAAUCUUCCGCAAUGGACGAAAGUCUGACGGAGCAACGCCGCGUGAGCGAAGAAGGCCUUCGGGUCGUAAAGCUCUGUUGUUAGGGAAGAACAAGUAUGAGAGUAACUGCUCGUACCUUGACGGUACCUAACCAGAAAGCCACGGCUAACUACGUGCCAGCAGCCGCGGUAAUACGUAGGUGGCAAGCGUUGUCCGGAAUUAUUGGGCGUAAAGCGCGCGCAGGCGGUCCUUUAAGUCUGAUGUGAAAGCCCACGGCUCAACCGUGGAGGGUCAUUGGAAACUGGGAGACUUGAGUGCAGAAGAGGAGAGUGGAAUUCCACGUGUAGCGGUGAAAUGCGUAGAGAUGUGGAGGAACACCAGUGGCGAAGGCGACUCUCUGGUCUGUAACUGACGCUGAGGCGCGAAAGCGUGGGGAGCAAACAGGAUUAGAUACCCUGGUAGUCCACGCCCUAAACGAUGACAACUGGAUGUCGGGAGGGUUUGCCUUCCGGUGUCGUAGCUAACGCGUUAAGUUGUCCGCCUGGGAAGUACGGCCGCAAGGUUGAAACUUAAAGGAAUUGACGG